UAAAUUAAUUUAUUAAAUAGUUUUUUUUGUAUGAUAAAUUUAUAAUUUUUAAAGUUUUAUAAAAAAUUUAUGUUAAAUUAAAUAUUUUGAAAAAAUUAAAUAAUUUUAUAGUUUAAAGUAAUGUGAAUGAAUAAUUUAUAAAUAUAAAUAAGUAGAAUUUAUUUUGUACCUUUUGUAUCAGGGUUGAUUAAAAUUUAUUUUAAUAUUAAAAUAUCUCGAAAAUAGGGGAGCUAAGUUUAUAAAAUUUUUUUUGUGGCAUUAAAAUUAUAAAUAUAAAUUUAGAGAUUAAAUGUCAUUCGAACCUAUUGAUAUCUAGUUUUUUUAGAAAUAAAUUUAAUUUAGAUAUAAAAAUUUUAAUAAAUUAAAAUUUUAAUUGAUUUAUUAAUUUUUAUAUUAAAAAUUUAUGGGAUAAUCUAUAAAUUUUUAAUAAAAAUUUAAUUUAAAUAUUUAUAAUGUUAUGGAGAUAAUAUUUUUUUUUAAUGUUAAAAAUUUAAUUAUUUAGUAUUUAUUAAUCUUAAAGAUUUAAAUUUUGUUUUAUUUAUUAUAUAAAAUUAUAUAUUUUAAUUUAUAAAAUAUAGAAAUAAUGAUUAAAUUAGUAAUAAAAGUAUAUUUAAUAUAAAAUUUUAUUAAUAUAUAAUUUAAAGGAACUCGGCAAAUAUGAUUAUUCACCUGUUUAUCAAAAACAUGGCCUAUUGAUUAUAAUUUUAGGUCGAUCUGCUCCAUGAAGUAAAAUUUAAAUAGCUGCAGUAUAUUGACUGUACAAAGGUAGCAUAAUAAAUUGUCUUUUAAUUGAAGAAUUGAAUGAACGAAUUGAUGAAAUAACAACUGUCUCUAUUUUAUUGAAUGAAUUUAAAUUUUUAGUUAAAAUGCUAAAAUUUAAUUAUGGGACGAUAAGACCCUAUAGAAUUUUAUUUAAAUAAUUAUUUAUUUAAAUUAUUUGUAAAUAAAUAAUUAAUUUAAAUUUGAUUGGGAGGAUUGGUAAAUAUAAAUAACUUUAUCUUAUAAAUAAUUUUAAUUAGAAAAUAUUUUUUGAUCUAUAAAUUAUAAUUAAAAGAAUAAAUUACCUUAGGGAUAACAGCGUAAUAUCUUUUGAUAGACCAUAUUGAUAAAGAUGAUUGCGACCUCGAUGUUGAAUUAAGAUAAAAAUUAGACGCAGAAGUUUAAAAAUUUAAGUCUGUUCGACUUUUAAAAUCUUACAUGAUUUGAGUUCAAAUCGACGUAAGUCAGAUUGGUUUCUAUCUAUAAUAAAAAUAAAACUAAUUGUACGAAAGGACCUUAGUUUUUAAAUUAUUUAUAAAUGAAUAAUAAAUAAAAAUAAAUUA
rnacentral:rRNA from 1 species